GCCAGUAUGAUGGAUAUGAUCCUCGACUUGUAACCGAGUGGGUUCGGGUUCGAAUCCCGAGUAAGGCA
rnacentral:tRNA from 1 species